rnacentral:rRNA from 3 species
CGGUAGCUAAAUGCGGAAGAGAUAAGUGCUGAAAGCAUCUAAGCACGAAACUUGCCCCGAGAUGAGUUCUCCCUGACCCUUUAAGGGUCCUGAAGGAACGUUGAAGACGACGACGUUGAUAGGCCGGGUGUGUAAGCGCAGCGAUGCGUUGAGCUAACCGGUACUAAUGAACCGUGAGGCUUAACCUU